CUGGCUAAAACCAGGUUUGGCCUGGAGUCUGGGCAAACUCCUGGAUGGGGUUUCCCCGGGGUACAGCCCUCGUGCCUUGAGCAACACGCAUCGGGCACGCUGAGGAGGCGGCAGGAAAGCUGAUGGUGACGCUCGUGGCAUGCUGUGAUGAAAGGCAAGAGGGGAGUUUGGAUGCUGAGGUGACAGGGAAGGGCUUGGGGUCGCCAGCAAAGUUGCGGAGUGAAGACAUUCCCGACAGCAGUGCCCAAUUCCCCUCCUGAGGGACACUGUGGGCAAGGCCAGAUCCGGCUCAUGGCUGGAGUUGGAAGAGAAGCAGUACCAAUAUCGGUCAUUUCAUCCUCGCUGGAACCCUGACUAUACAAAGCUUCAUUCUCACUCCGUGCAAGGGUGUUUGCAGCUUAAUAAGUCUGGCUCAGGUCUGCAAUAACUUGUGAUGCAGGGAGGGUACCCUAAUCCUGUUCUGAAAAACUUAAACAAAACCUGAACUGCCCAGCUUCACCCCCUGGCAGUUCAUUUCAGGAGGUAGCUGUUAAAAAUGUGUCUUUGCUUCUCAUUUUCAAUGACCUGGAUUUAGCUGUCAGCCCCUGCCUGGGGUUAUUCCUCUCCCUGCUAGACCCAGUCACCCUUCCUAGAGCGACAGAACCGAGGGCUGUUUGCAUUAGGGAUGUGUUGCUGGCCAAAACCUCGGGCUCAAGUUUGUUUCCUUUGUGAAGAAACAAUGUCUGUGCUGUUGGUGAUCCCCAUCCCACUGAAAAACCCUCUUCCUUCUCCUGCUGUGAGGAUGACAGGCUCCAACCUGGGACAAAUCCAUGGGAACAGUGGUCCGGAGGGCAGUGGCUCAGUACUUUCACACUGGAAAAGCAACAUUUGCUGGAGAGCGUGAGGAGCUUUUACCUUGGCUCUGGCCCACAGGCUUUCUUCAAAAUAUCCCUUUCACAUGGAAAUUCCUGCCAAGUGAAGAUUGCUGGCUCUGGCUGGCAUGUCAGCCACGGCAAGAGACACAAAGAUUGGACCAGAAGCAAAUGCUGAAGAGGGAGCUCAUCAUUAUUCUCUCUUCUAAAAGAAGAGAAAAUUGAGGGACAGCAGCCUUGAUCUUAUUGAGAAGAAGAUUGAAGCGAAAGACAAGGGCGUACCAGGGAUCUGCAGCUGCACCAGAUGGACCCAAUGAAAAUAACAGGACAGUCC
rnacentral:lncRNA from 1 species